rnacentral:rRNA from 1 species
UCGUCAGCUCGUGUUGUGAAAUGUUGGGUUAAGUCCCGCAACGAGCGCAACCCUUAUCCUUUGUUGCCAGCGGUUAGGCCGGGAACUCAAAGGAGACUGCCAGUGAUAAACUGGAGGAAGGUGGGGAUGACGUCAAGUCAUCAUGGCCCUUACGAGUAGGGCUACACACGUGCUACAAUGGCGCAUACAAAGAGAAGCGACCUCGCGAGAGCAAGCGGACCUCAUAAAGUGCGUCGUAGUCCGGAUUGGAGUCUGCAACUCGACUCCAUGAAGUCGGAAUCGCUAGUAAUCGUAGAUCAGAAUGCUACGGUGAAUACGUUCCCGGGCCUUGUACACACCGCCCGUCACACCAUGGGAGUGGGUUGCAAAAGAAGUAGGUAGCUUAACCUUCGGGAGGGCGCUUACCACUUUGUGAUUCAUGACUGGGGUGAAGUCGUAACAAGGUAACCGUAGGGGAACCUGCGGUUGGAUCACCUCCUUACCUUAAAGAA